rnacentral:rRNA from 1 species
UACGAGAGGCCCAAACGUUAUUCGGAUUUACUGGGCUUAAAGAGCUCGUAGGCGGUCCAUCAAGUGGGGUGUGAAAUCCCUCGGCUCAACCGAGGAAUUGCGCUCCAAACUGUUGGGCUCGAGGGAGAUAGAGGUGAGCGGAACUGAUGGUGGAGCGGUGAAAUGCGUUGAUAUCAUCAGGAACACCAGAGGCGAAGGCGGCUCACUGGGUCUCUUCUGACGCUGAGGAACGAAAGCUAGGGGAGCAAACGGG